rnacentral:snRNA from 1 species
AUGCUCACCUUGACAGCACACAUCCUAAAAUUGGGGUGAGACAGAAGAGUUCAUGGCCCCUGCACAAGGAUGACACUGGAAUUGAAAUUCACAUGGAAUUGUGUU